rnacentral:tRNA from 1 species
GCCGGGGUGGCCGAGCGGACCAAGGCGGCGGGCUCGAGACCCGUUGCCCCGAGGAGGGGCGCGCGGGUUCGAAUCCCGCCCCCGGCGCCA